GAGCACCUGCAGGGUUGGGGCACCCACAGCCUCACCGCUCUCUGAGUGGUGCUGCUCUUCGAGCAGAGGUGUUGAUGUGCACACACACUUCCGUUCCCAAAAGCUCAAGCCAUCCACCAGCACCAGGUACCGGUUAUGUGGGAGCCAUCAGCUCCAGCCAGGACCUGAAGGCAGAGACUAGGGCUUGGCAGCUGUGAUUUUUUCCCCAGAUUCAGAAGAUUGAGUACAAAGUGCUGAAUACACUGCUGGCCAUUGGCAUUGGACAGGAGCAAUUCCUCAAGGGCAUACAUGGCAGAGGAGCACAGUGCCCAAGCCCUACCUCAGCUUGUCAUCUCGCUCCUUCUCAAGACAGGAGAAGACAUAGUUAUGUCUGCAGCUCAAGUCAUCUGAUUUAUUCCUGACAACUGCAUUAGGAGGAGAUAAACAGCGCCUAAAAGUGCCAGUGUCUCUCCAUUAACCAGAGGAAGCCUGAGCUCCCUGUUGUAAACAUGAAGCAUCAACAUGACAAAUGGCUGCACCUGGGCAAAGCGUCCCUGCCAGAACCAGGGCUGCCGAGGGAGGGACACCCACACUCGGCUCAUGUAGGCGAGCUUCUAUGGGGGAAAUUCUCCUUUGUCCUGGAGCUCCUGGACAGCUCAAGAUUGUGGAGUUACAGCUGGGAUUCUGCUUCAAGGAGAUCCACUUCCUAGGUGAAGGUUUGCCUGGAAGUUGUCUGAGAACUGGGAUGAGGAUGCUCGCCGAGCUGCCCCUGUGCUGCAACACUUUGCUGGGGUCUAUGCUGUUGGACGGCACCAUGGCUUGCCUUGUGGCCUUACCUUUACGUUUGCCAUCACUGCUGACCUGCCCCGAAUAGUCAUUAUUCGUCUCAUCAGGAUAUUGUACUUUACAUUCCUAACAAAUUUCCAUAAUCUAUUAAAAUUGCCUCAGAAGUAAAUAGUCAAGUUUCUUGACUGAAUGGAGCUUGCCUUGCUCCCACUAUCACCCGCCACAACGCACUUGAGAGACAGGCUUACAUUUUCAUUAUACCCAGCCCAAACAUACUAGGAGAAUCUGCAAAUGAAAGGACUCUAAAUUCUAAUAAUGAAUUUUCCUCUCAGUUGUUCCUGAGUCUAAAAAGAAAGC